UACAGAGGGGGCAAGCGUUGUCCGGAAUUACUGGGCGUACAGCGCGCGCAGGCGGUUGCCGACGUGCCGUGUGACAAGCGGGGGCUCAACCCCCGAGGGCCACGGUAAACGGGGCGACUGGAGGUAGGGAGAGGGAUGUGGAAUGCCCGGUGGAGCGGUGAAAUGCGUAGAUAUCGGGAGGAACACCAGUGGCGAAGGCGACUUUCUGGCCUGUUCUUGACGCUGAGGCGCGAAAGCUAGGGGAGCAAACGGG
rnacentral:rRNA from 1 species